GAUGAACGCUGGCGGCGUGCCUAAUACAUGCAAGUCGAGCGAACAGACGAGGAGCUUGCUCCUCUGACGUUAGCGGCGGACGGGUGAGUAACACGUGGAUAACCUACCUAUAAGACUGGGAUAACUUCGGGAAACCGGAGCUAAUACCGGAUAAUAUAUUGAACCGCAUGGUUCAAUAGUGAAAGACGGUUUUGCUGUCACUUAUAGAUGGAUCCGCGCCGCAUUAGCUAGUUGGUAAGGUAACGGCUUACCAAGGCGACGAUGCGUAGCCGACCUGAGAGGGUGAUCGGCCACACUGGAACUGAGACACGGUCCAGACUCCUACGGGAGGGAGCAGUAGGGAAUCUUCCGCAAUGGGCGAAAGCCUGACGGAGCAACGCCGCGUGAGUGAUGAAGGUCUUCGGAUCGUAAAACUCUGUUAUUAGGGAAGAACAAAUGUGUAAGUAACUAUGCACGUCUUGACGGUACCUAAUCAGAAAGCCACGGCUAACUACAUG
rnacentral:rRNA from 1 species